AUCUAUGGCCAUAUCACACUGAACAUACCUGAUCUCAUCUGAUGUAGGAAGCUAAGCAGAAUUAGGCCUGGUUAGUAUUGGAUGGGAAAAAACAGUAUUAUGUUGCUAAUGCCUAUAUAAUGUAGAUGCUAUAAAAC
rnacentral:rRNA from 1 species